GCUUCCCGUCCCCCGCCUCCCUCACUCCCCGCCCCUCUGCUGUGAGGACACAGCCUGAGCGCAGCCCUGUCCUCCACAGGUAGAUGAUGAGCUGGAGAUCAAGGCCUACUAUGCAGGCCACGUGCUGGGGGCAGCCAUGUUCCAGAUUAAAGUGGGCUCAGAGUCUGUGGUCUACACGGGUGAUUAUAACAUGACCCCAGACCGACACUUAGGAGCUGCCUGGAUUGACAAGUGCCGCCCCAACCUGCUCAUCACAGAGUCCACGUACGCCACGACCAUCCGUGACUCCAAGCGCUGCCGGGAGCGAGACUUCCUGAAGAAAGUCCACGAGACCGUGGAGCGUGGUGGGAAGGUGCUGAUACCUGUGUUCGCGCUGGGCCGCGCCCAGGAGCUCUGCAUCCUCCU
rnacentral:sRNA from 1 species